rnacentral:rRNA from 1 species
CUGGCUCAGGAUGAACGCUGGCGGCGUGCUUAACACAUGCAAGUCGAACGGAGUAUCUCUCCCGAGACCAAAGAAGCUUGCUUCUGAGGAAUCAAUUGAGAUACUUAGUGGCGGACGGGUGAGUAACGCGUGGGUAACCUGCCUCACACAGGGGGAUAACAGUUGGAAACGACUGUUAAUACCGCAUAAGCGCACGGUACCGCAUGGUACAGUGUGAAAAACUCCGGUGGUGUGAGAUGGACCCGCGUCUGAUUAGCUAGUUGGCGAGGUAACGGCCCACCAAGGCGACGAUCAGUAGCCGGCCUGAGAGGGUGAACGGCCACAUUGGGACUGAGACACGGCCCAAACUCCUACGGGAGGCAGCAGUGGGGAAUAUUGCACAAUGGGGGAAACCCUGAUGCAGCGACGCCCGCGUGAGCGAUGAAGUAUUUCGGUAUGUAAAGCUCUAUCAGCAGGGAAGAUAAUGACGGUACCUGACUAAGAAGCACCGGCUAAAUACGUGCCAGCCGCAGC